UACGUAGGUGGCAAGCGUUAUCCGGAUUUAUUGGGCGUAAAGGGAACGCAGGCGGUCUUUUAAGUCUGAUGUGAAAGCCUUCGGCUUAACCGGAGUAGUGCAUUGGAAACUGGGAGACUUGAGUGCAGAAGAGGAGAGUGGAACUCCAUGUGUAGCGGUGAAAUGCGUAGAUAUAUGGAAGAACACCAGUGGCGAAAGCGGCUCUCUGGUCUGUAACUGACGCUGAGGAUCGAAAGCGUGGGUAGCAAACAGG
rnacentral:rRNA from 1 species